rnacentral:rRNA from 1 species
UAAUACAUGCAAGUCGAACGCGCAGCGAAAGGUGCUUGCACCUUUCAAGCGAGUGGCGAACGGGUGAGUAACACGUGGAUAACCUGCCUCAAGGCUGGGGAUAACAUUUGGAAACAGAUGCUAAUACCGAAUAAAACUUAGUAUCGCAUGAUACAAAGUUGAAAGGCGCUACGGCGUCACCUAGAGAUGGGUCCGCGGUGCAUUAGUUAGUUGGUGGGGUAAAGGCCUACCAAGACAAUGAUGCAUAGCCGAGUUGAGAGACUGAUCGGCCACAUUGGGACUGAGACACGGCCCAAACUCCUACGGGAGGCUGCAGUAGGGAAUCUUCCACAAUGGGCGAAAGCCUGAUGGAGCAACGCCGCGUGUGUGAUGAAGGCUUUAGGGUCGUAAAGCACUGUUGUAUGGGAAGAAAUGCUAGAAUAGGGAAUGAUUCUAGUUCGACGGUACCAUACCAGAAAGGGACGGCUAAAUACGUGCCAGCAGCCGCGGUAAUACGUAUGUCCCGAGCGUUAUCCGGAUUUAUUGGGCGUAAAGCGAGCGCAGACGGUUGAUUAAGUCUGAUGUGAAAGCCCGGAGCUCAACUCCGGAAUGGCAUUGGAAACUGGUUAACUUGAGUGUUGUAGAGGUAAGUGGAACUCCAUGUGUAGCGGUGGAAUGCGUAGAUAUAUGGAAGAACACCAGUGGCGAAGGCGGCUUACUGGACAACAACUGACGUUGAGGC